UCCCUUGUAGCUCAGUGGGUAAAGUAUCUGCCUACAAUGCAGGAGACCACGGUUCGAUCCCUGGCUUGGGAA
rnacentral:tRNA from 1 species